rnacentral:rRNA from 1 species
UACGUAGGUGGCAAGCGUUUGUCCGGAAUUAUUGGGCGUAAAGGGCGCGUAGGCGGCUUGGCAAGUGGAUGGUGAAAUCCCUCGGCUUAACCGAGGAACUGCCAUCCAGACUGCUUUGCUUGAGGCCGGGAGAGGUGAGUGGAAUUCCCAGUGUAGCGGUGAAAUGCGCAGAUAUCGGGAAGAACACCCGUGGCGAAGGCGGUUCUCUGGGACGGUACUGACGCUGAGACGCGAAAGCGUGGGGAGCGAACAGG